rnacentral:misc_RNA from 1 species
GAACAUUUGUAUCGUAUUCAAACAUUACAACUUCGACCGAUGAUCGAAUCGUUACAUAAGCUCCCAAAUAAAUUAAUUUGGGUGUAAAUCCGGGAUCAAAGUUUUGAACCCAAGAAUGGAUUUUCUUUCUAUAUACAUAGCAAACUUCUUCACUAUCUACAUUGGUAUAAAAAUGGUGUUUGAUUUUGGUAUUCUUCUCCAUUUAUUCUCUUGCGAAUUCGAUCACUAUGUGUACCAUUCGAUCCGAGAUGCAAAGCUACUGGCCUGAGUUUGGCGAGCGGUUCAAGCAACUCGUGAUGAACUAUAUAAUUUGAGAAAUCUAUAUAUGUAUAUAUAGUAAAACUAGAGAGAAAUAUGAGGCAUGGUUGAGCUUUAGCUGUAGGCAGCCUCAACUGAAAGCUUCUUUGUGUUAUCAGGAAGUGGUUCUCUUAACCAAAGAGAUCCCCCUAGGAUUGCCACCCCAUUCUUCGAAAAUCACUAGUAUAUUCCCGCUCGGUUUCAACCAAGCACGGGGGACAUGGUACCAUCUCUGUGAGGGCUCUCCACAGCUAGACUGACAUUUCUUCUCAGUAAAAAUUCCACCAUAGUAGCAUUUGCCACAACUACCACGUGCAGUAUAUGCAGGCCAAUGGCGUCCGAUGCUCUGACCGUUAAUCCAUAUCUGACCUUUACCCAUGCUACUCAUAUCUAAAGCUAACGGUUCAUUGCCUCCCGGGGCAUUGAAACUCGUCUUGUACCAUGUGAGGGGUUGUUUUUGAGACACCAAGGAGCCUGUCAUCCAUUCAACAGACCUACUUCCACUGACAGUAUGAAGAUUCAAGGCUUCUCCUUUCAAGCCAACCUUGUAAGACCAUUUAUAUCCCGACAUAUCUCUUGUACCCUCGUUUAGACCCUUCAAUGUGAC